ensembl:misc_RNA
CUGUGAUCUCAGAAGGUCAGGAAAACCGCUGGAUCUGCAUCACAUUACACUGCCACUUUCGUACACGAAGGCCAUCCCUUAUCCAAUUAACUGAGAUCCGUCUUUAUUUGUCAAACAUUUAGGCCUCAGCGUAGCCGGAAGUGUUGGCCGAGGAGCAGGACGUGGCUAAGCAGAGGCAGCUCUCAUUAAAUUGAUGAGCUGAGAUCUGGUCCUACUUCACCAUCUGGAAUUGUAGUCUGGGGUUCUGCUGAAAGCUGCUGACCCAGGAUUCAACUCUUCAACUCGG